AUACGGAGGAUGCGAGCGUUAUCCGGAUUUAUUGGGUUUAAAGGGAGCGUAGGUGGGAUAUUAAGUCAGCUGUGAAAGUUUGGGGCUCAACCUUAAAAUUGCAGUUGAUACUGGUUUCCUUGAGUACGGUACAGGUGGGCGGAAUUCGUGGUGUAGCGGUGAAAUGCGUAGAUAUCACGAAGAACUCCGAUCGCGAAGGCAGCUCACCGGGCCGGAACUGACACUGAUGCUCGAAAGUGCGGGUAUCAAACAGGAUUAGAUACCCUGGUAGUCCGCACAGUAAACGAUGAAUACUCGCUGUUUGCGAUACACGGUAAGCGGCCAAGCGAAAGCGUUAAGUAUUCCACCUGGGGAGUACGCCGGCAACGGUGAAACUCAAAGGAAUUGACGGGG
rnacentral:rRNA from 1 species